GGAUGAACGCUAGCUACAGGCUUAACACAUGCAAGUCGAGGGGCAGCAUCAUCAAAGCUUGCUUUGAUGGAUGGCGACCGGCGCACGGGUGAGUAACACGUAUCCAACCUGCCGACAACACUGGGAUAGCCUUUCGAAAGAAAGAUUAAUACCGGAUGGCAUAAUUAUUCCGCAUGGGAUAAUUAUUAAAGAAUUUCGGUUGUCGAUGGGGAUGCGUUCCAUUAGGCAGUUGGCGGGGUAACGGCCCACCAAACCUACGAUGGAUAGGGGUUCUGAGAGGAAGGUCCCCCACAUUGGAACUGAGACACGGUCCAAACUCCUACGGGAGGCAGCAGUGAGGAAUAUUGGUCAAUGGACGAGAGUCUGAACCAGCCAAGUAGCGUGAAGGAUGACUGCCCUAUGGGUUGUAAACUUCUUUUAUACGGGAAUAAAGUGAGCCACGUGUGGUUUUUUGUAUGUACCGUAUGAAUAAGGAUCGGCUAACUCCGUGCCAGCAGCCGCGGUAAUACGGAGGAUCCGAGCGUUAUCCGGAUUUAUUGGGUUUAAAGGGAGCGUAGGCGGGUUGUUAAGUCAGUUGUGAAAGUUUGCGGCUCAACCGUAAAAUUGCAGUUGAUACUGGCGACCUUGAGUGCAACAGAGGUAGGCGGAAUUCGUGGUGUAGCGGUGAAAUGCUUAGAUAUCACGAAGAACUCCGAUUGCGAAGGCAGCUUACUGGAUUGUAACUGACGCUGAUGCUCGAAAGUGUGGGUAUCAAACAGGAUUAGAUACCCCUGGUAGUCCACACAGUAAACGAUGAAUACUCGCUGUUGGCGAUAUACGGUCACCGGCCAAGCGAAAGCAUUAAGUAUUCCCCCUGGGGAGUACGCCGGCAACGGUGAAACUCAAAGGAAUUGACGGGGGCCCGCACAAGCGGAGGAACAUGGGGUUUAAUUCGAUGAUACGCGAGGAACCUUACCCGGGCUUAAAUGGCAACGGACGGAAUCGGAAACGGUUCUUUCUUCGGACAGUUGUGAAGGUGCUGCAUGGUUGUCGUCAGCUCGUGCCGUGAGGUGUCGGCUUAAGUGCCAUAACGAGCGCAACCCUUACGGGUAGUUACCAUCAGGUUAUGCUGGGGACUCUACCCGGACUGCCGUCGUAAGAUGUGAGGAAGGUGGGGAUGACGUCAAAUCAGCACGGCCCUUACGUCCGGGGCUACACACGUGUUACAAUGGGGGGUACAGAAGGCAGCUACACGGCGACGUGGUGCUAAUCCCGAAAGCCUCUCUCAGUUCGGAUUGGAGUCUGCAACCCGACUCCAUGAAGCUGGAUUCGCUAGUAAUCGCGCAUCAGCCACGGCGCGGUGAAUACGUUCCCGGGCCUUGUACACACCGCCCGUCAAGCCAUGAAAGCCGGGGGUACAUGAAGUACGUAACCGCGAGGAGCGUCCUAGGGUAAAACUGA
rnacentral:rRNA from 1 species